UACGUAGGCGGCAAGCGUUGUUCGGAGUUACUGGGCGUAAAGGGUGUGUAGGCGGUUCUUUAAGUUUGGUGUGAAAUCUCCCGGCUCAACUGGGAGGGGUGCGCCGAAUACUGAGGGGACUAGAGUACGGGGAGAGGAAAGUGGAAUUCCUGGUGUAGCGGUGAAAUGCGUAGAUAUCAGGAGGAACACCGGUGGUGUAGACGGCUUUCUGGACCGUAACUGACGCUGAAACACGAAAGCGUGGGUAGCAAACAGG
rnacentral:rRNA from 1 species